rnacentral:rRNA from 1 species
UACGGGGGGGGCAAGCGUUGUUCGGAAUUACUGGGCGUAAAGGGCGCGUAGGCGGUUCGAUAAGUCAGCUGUGAAAACCAUGGGCUUAACUCGUGGCCUGCAGUUGAGACUGUCGAGCUGGAGUGUGGGAGAGGAGAGUGGAAUUCCUGGUGUAGCGGUGAAAUGCGUAGAUAUCAGGAGGAACACCGGUGGCGAAGGCGGCUCUCUGGACCACAACUGACGCUGAGGCGCGAAAGCUAGGGGAGCAAACAGG